UGAACAUACAAUUUUUAACACUAAUCAGUUAUAAAAUAUUAAUAAAUUGUUGUAAACCAUGGAAUGCAAAUAUGGAUUCCACCAAAUAUUGCUCUUCUCAUUAUCUUCUUUAUUGCACUCUCCAUUAAUGUUUUUAUAAUUAAUAAUUGUGAAGGAAAAAAUGUCUUCUCAUCCCUAAGGUUUUAUAAAAUAGCCUAUGUCAUCCCUACUUUUUAAACAAUAGCCCAAAACAUCCUUUAGUUAACUCGCCGUUAGUUUAAUACCAUUUGUUAGUAAUUUAUUGAGGGCAAAAAAGAAUUUUCCAUUAAAGAGAAGUUAGAAAAAAUAAAUAAAAGUUGGCAUAUAACUAAAAAUAAUUUUUAUCUAAUCCCAUUAAAUAGAAAAUAUAAAAAAAGAUGAAAAAUUUCUACUUCAAGUAAUUGUUUUGCAUUUCUCUCGAUUUGGCGACAUGAAAUACCUAUAAACCCUAGAUCUAAGUAUAAAAAAUAAUCACAAUUUUCAUAUUCGUAUAAAUAUACUCUCUAAUUACACUAUGAGACAUCUUGGGGAGAUAGUGGUAAAGACUUGGGGAGACAAUAAUGGUCAAAGAAUAGUGAUGGUAAAGUUCAAAAUAAAAAUUGGUUGAAGAUUACGAAGAUAUUUAGCACAUGCAAGUACAUAAAAAUUUAUUGUAUUUUUUUAGUUUUUCUUCCAAUAAUUUAAAGAUAUUGUGUUAAUUAUAGUUUGUUGCUUAUGGCAAUUAUUCAAUGGUUGUAUCAAACUAUUUCAUCGUUGAUUUUAUUUAAGAAAGAAAUCAUGAAUUUUGCAUAUUUUGUGUAGUGUUAUUUAAUUGUGUAAAAAAUUUAUUUUAAUAUAGUUUGUAUCAUUUUAAUGAAAAAUCAUAUUUUACCCUAAAUGAAUUAUUAGUUAAUUGUAUUAAACUAACAGUAAGUUACCGAAAUGAUGUUUUGGACUAUUAUUUAGAAAGUAGGGAUGAAAUUGGUCAGUGAGAUAUUCCAUUUUAAGUGCUUGGUGGAGAUGAUGCCGUAGAAAAAUCAUGGCCUUGGCUCGAUCUUGAGUGGAUGAGUCAUUAUUAUUUUAUAUCGUGUUACUAAAGCUCAUAGCAUCAAGAUGCAUUUUGGCAUCUAGGAUCCAGGAUAAAUAAUUCUCGCCUGAUAUAUCCAAAGCGUUAAACUCCAAUUUUGUCAAUUGAGACAUUAUCACAAACAAAUAAAAAGAGGUUAGUGUAAUAAAUAUUGAAAAAAGUGUAAAUAAUAAGUAUUACUUAUAGGAAAAAAUUUAAAUAAAUACGUAGAAAAUAAAAGAGUAAAUUGAUAGAAUACUUCCUGUGCCAGAGCGAAAUUCGUGCUGAUAACGUGUUAUAAAUUUGGAGGUAAUGGAUGUUAUAAUUUAAAGAGAUUGUAUGUAAACAAUUAUUUAAUGAUAAUAUCUAAGUAAGGAAUACUUAAAUGAAGAGAAAACAAGCAAAAUGCCGUGAGCGAGAAAAAAUGAAUUGUAUUAAUUCAUUAGCAAAGAAAGGGUAUAUAUAGGCAUUCGAAGAUAGAAUUAUUCACAAUUAUUAAUUAUAACAACAUUAAUGGAGAGAGUAAUAAAGAAGAUAAUGGGAAGAGUAAUAUUUGGUGGAAUCCUUAUUUGUAUUCCACAGUUUACAACAAUAUGGAGUUAAAAAAAUAAUAGUGGUUGUAUCUGGUCAGAUAUCCAUUUUAUACCAACUGCAAACUUGUCCCUUAUUUGGAAAAAUAUGAAAAAUUACGGAUCCAAACCGAUCUUAUCACAAUUGUUAUUACCCUACCCAUUUCAUUUUAUAUGAUCUCUCCCAAAAGGUUGUGCUUCGGGGGUUAAUUUGUUCGGCUAGCCACUGUUCAAGCCAUGUGAAAUAAUUCACCUUUUUGGCUAAAUUAAAGUGGGAUGUGCACCUUGUGAGUGGUGUGAUGAUUGAUUCAUAUUAAAAUUUGUUCGAAAAUAUCAAAAUAUUCCUCGGCCGUCCAUUAAAAAUAACCCCACCACCAUCUUCAAAUUUCACAAUCAUACUUGUGAAUUGUGAUAUAUAUAGGACUGUCUAUGCCAUAUAUUAUAGCUUUUAAUGAUAGCUAGAGAUAUACAGAAUUAGAAUCAAUCAUCAUACCUUGAAAAUUGAAGCACGAAAAGUAAUAUUUGGUUUGAUUCGGUUCAGGCUUAGAGCCGAACUAAACCUAAAUUAAUUAGUUCAUAAUUCUAUGAACUAGAUAUGAACUAAACACUAAAACCAAAUUAACUUAGUUUGGUUCUACGUUUUGGUUUGAUUUAGUUUUUUUUUCUUUUGGAGUAAUUUAUCAAUGUAUGUUCAAUUAAAAAAAAGACUUAAUAGUAAUAUAUAUUACUAUGACAACAAUUUUAAGUCUAUAAAUCAACAAACAGUAAACAACAUAAUAAAGUCUAAUAAUAGUAAAUCAACAUAACAAAGUCUAAUAAUGGUCUAGAAAUAUACUACAAAUUACAAAAUAUUUCUAUCUAAAAUAUUUCUUACUUGUUUGACAAUAUUAUUUCGUUAUUUUCAUAAGAUAACUUUAAAAAUUAGUCUAUUAAAGUAAUUUUAUGAUUUUUAAUAAAAGUUCUCGUUAACAACCAAAUAAUUAAUUUUUUUUAUUGUUACAAAAACUCUAUUUGUAAAAGCUCUAAUAACAAAAGUUCUAUUUAAAUAAGAUUUAUUUGAAAAGCUAAUACUAAACGGAGCCUUAAUCUAGUUUAUAUUAGGGCUUUC
rnacentral:lncRNA from 1 species